UUCAGCAUAAGCUGGGGAGUAAGGAGCCAAGGACAUGCCAGUGGAGUUCCUGGGCCCAAGAAUAAUAGUAGAAGUAUCCUAAUAGCAUUGGAUGGUCCUGCUCAGUGAGACAGUUUGGGACAUGAGGUUGGGUGGAAGGAGAGGCAGAUGAAUAGCCACACAGAUGGAUAGGUGGACUACCCAGGGAUGGAUCAACUGAUGGAUGGAAUAGUAGGUGGAAAGUAGAUGAAAGGGGAGAUGAACAAAUAAUAAGCAGAUACAUGAAUGGAUUGUUGGAUAGGUAAACUGGUGAAUGGCUGGAUAUGUAUGUGGAUGGAUAUAUAAGUGAAUUGGUGGGUGGGCAGAAGGGCAGAUAAAUGAAUGGAUAGCAGAUGAAUGGAUAAUUGGACUGAUGGGUGGAUUUGUGGAUAUACAGAUGAUGGGUGAUUAACAGAUGGAUGAGCUGAUGGAUGAGUGGGUGGGUGAUAAAUGAAUAAAUGAGAGUUUGAUGGAUGACUGGGGAGGCAGGAAGAUGAAUGGAAAAGCAGGAGGAAUACAAAAAGAUAGGUAGAGUGACAAGCGGAUUGAUGGUUGGAUAGGUGAAUAGAUGGAAAAUGGAUGAAUGGAUGGAUUUGUGGGUGAAUUAGUUGAUAGAUGGGUAUAAAGUAGAUGGAUAGGCAAACCAAAUGAGUGAGUAAAUGGGUAAUAUAAAGGUAGAUGGUAGGUGGGAGGCUGGAAGAAUGGAUGGGCACAUAGAUGAGUAGAUGAAUGGCUAUGCUGAUGAGUGGAUAACCAGAUGGAUAGAUGUUAUAUAGUUGGGUAGAUGAAUAGACAGACAGAUGGAUGCUUGCAUGCCUCAGUGAGUCAAUGAAUGGCUAAACGUAUAGCUAGGUGGCUAAAGAGAUGAACUGAUAGGAAAUUGGACUGGCAAAUGUAUGGGUAAAUAGGUAGCUAGAUGGAUAGAUAGACGGUUGGAUGGGCUGAUACACUGGUAGGUAGACAUGCAGAAUGAUUUAGGCAUGACAGUUAAGAACAAAGUCUUUGGAAUCAGGAUGCCUGAGUUUAAAUCUCAGUUCAGUCAUUUACUAGCUACGGGAUCUUAGCCAAAUUACUUUUUUUUUUUUUAAUCUCAAUUUCUUUAUCCCAAAAUAAGAAUAAUGGUACUUACUUUACAUAGGGUGAUUGUUAAGUUAAACGAGACAGUCUGUGAAUGUGCUGAGAACAAUGCCUGGAAUACAGUAAAGCUCAGAGUGGUAAAAAAAAAAACAACCAAACAAAAAAAAG